AUCUUUAUGCAUGGGCAUUACGUAUAUCAGUGAGGAUUCGUCCGAGAUUAUGUUUUUGCUGGUUGAAAACUUUCACCAUGACAACUCCUGUUUGUAGCCUUCGGGCGAACGCUCAGGGAAUUUUUGGAAACCUAUCAUACAACUCUUGCUUGCAAGG
rnacentral:snRNA from 1 species